AUUGAACGCUGGCGGCAGGCCUAACACAUGCAAGUCGAACGGCAGCGGGGGGAAGCUUGCUUCCCCGCCGGCGAGUGGCGGACGGGUGAGUAAUGCCUGGGGAGCUGCCCAAUCGAGGGGGAUACCAGUUGGAAACGACUGCUAAUACCGCAUACGCCCUGAGGGGGAAAGGUGGGGAUCUUCGGACCUAUCGCGAUUGGAUGCACCCAGGUGGGAUUAGCUAGUUGGUGAGGUAACGGCUCACCAAGGCGACGAUCUCUAGCUGGUCUGAGAGGAUGACCAGCCACACUGGAACUGAGACACGGUCCAGACUCCUACGGGAGGCAGCAGUGGGGAAUAUUGCACAAUGGGGGAAACCCGUGAUGCAGCCAUGCCGCGUGUGUGAAGAAGGCCUGUGU
rnacentral:rRNA from 1 species